rnacentral:lncRNA from 1 species
UCCCCCUCCCCAAGUAUGAAAUUGAUGACAGUAGUAUUGAUUUGGUUAGACUGGGGCUAAGUGGUAGGGAAGGGAGGACAAAAUCAUGACUCCUUAAAUGGUACCUCAGAGAUGGAAGUAUUUGUCCAUCUAUUUAGAAGACAUUUGCUAAUAUUCCCAAAUAUUCAGGUUGUGGCUGGCCUGAGUCUGCCUCCCACCCAAAAUGGGUCAGGUGGGGCCUCUGCCUUCUGCUAUCCUAUGAGGUCUUCUGUUAUACUUUCACCUAACUAAUGCUUUGCCACGCAUUCAUUCAUUUAAUCAUCGAAUCAUUCCAGAGCAAGAGGUUAGAAAAAGCUCUUAAAGAGCACCCAAGGUUCCCAUGAAUAGUACACAGCAAAUAGAAAGAGCUUAGUGUUUGAAGUUAGAAUGAUCUGAUGCUACUCCUUAUUGUCUGGCUGAUCCAGAGGUAACUGCUUCAUGGCUUCAGGCCUCAGUUUCCUCAACUGUAAAAUGGGGCUAGUAAUACCCACCUUCCAGAGUCACACAUUACUACGUAAGACAGUGUAACCCCUGUGCUACCUCGCCUCGUCUCAGGAAACAGUCUCAGAAAGCAUCCCAAAUAAGUAUAUUUGGUAUGUAAAUGUCUAUGUCACCACUUAAACUAUAAACGCCUUGAGGGCAGGCAUUUGGUUUGUUCAUUGUUCGUUUGAUUUGUUCAUUCCUAGAACGUAGCGUGGGCUUGGCACACAAUACGCUCCACGUACAUUGAAGGAAUGAAUGAAGGGCUUAGAAUGGCCUGGGCAACACUCUAAGCAUUUUGCCUGUUAUCAGCUUGGGUACCCUGUAUCAUCAUCACUGUCGUUUACAGAGGAAGAAACCCAAGCUCACGGAGGUUGAAUAAGUUGUCCAAGUUCAUGUAGGUAGGAGCAGGGUGACCUUAACCUAAGAACCAGAUCCAUCUGCUUCUGAAGCUUUUCCUUAACCAUCCCGCAUACCUGCUUCUUGCUGGAGAAUCAGAGAGGCCCACGGUGCAGGUCAGGCAUUGCUCAGACAGUACUUCUCCAGUACUCAGAGAAGGAUAGAGGUGGCCCAUCAGGUGGGCAAGAGGAAGGACAAGCUGGAAAAGAAGCUGGGGUCUUCAGAGACUAUCCCAGAGUCUGAGGACUCUGAGGAGAAGCGAGCCUGGAGGAGUUGGUAUCAGAUCAUGGACUGCUUCCUCCACCAAGCUUAGGGUGUGAAAUUUGUCUAUGGGCACCUAAGAGCCCUAGAAGGGUCUUCCUCGGAACAAGGGCACCACCAGACCUGGGAGGAGCACCCUGGCAGCAGCGUGGAGGAUGCUGGAAAUGGAGCAGGUGUGCACAGGGAGGGGAUGGGCUAAGGGGAAGCCUCCAGGUCAAGAUUGUCCUCUGCCCCCAACUGGCUGUGUGAGUUCGAAGAAGUGACUUCCUCUCUCUGGUUCCAUCUUCUCAUUGGUAUAAUGGGGAUAAUGUAGUACCUACUUCCUGGGGCUGCUGUGAAGAGUGAAUGGGGUGAGGCAUAAAAGUAUCGGCUGGUCCCAGAGCCGUUUGCGUUCUAUAAAUAGAGCUGGAAAGAGGGGAGUCAUAGCAAAAGCAUUUCAGAAGUGCAGGUACAAAGUGUGGCCACUGUGCCAAGGUAAGGGAUAAGAGAAAAAGAAACAGUCACAGUGCCCUGGCUGUCUGCAUUUGGUGAUGCCCUUUGGAAGGAUGUGGAAUGAGACAUCCCCCAAAUCCAGAAAGUUCCUCCUUGCUGGGCUCCCCCGUGGUCAGGUGCUGGGUAUUUUGAAACAAUGCUGAAUUCUCACUCCAGACCAGGAAUUGUGCUUUUAUACUUUGGAUUUCCAAAAUGACAUUGAGAGAAAACCCUCGUUAUUUCUCUACUCCUAUUUGUGAUGAUUAUUAAUCAUAGCUAAUAUUUGUAUAGUAUAUUCCAGCUUACAGAACAUUUUCAUCUCUAUGGUGGUAUCAGGGAUAAAGGAAAAUUCAUCAAACACAACUGGCUUAUUGAACAGUCUGAACUCAGCAGGGUGAAAAUACAAACAUUUUUUUUUUCCCCUCUAAUCCUUCCCUUCCACCCCCGUGUUGUCAAAUUUCCCUUUCUGAGCCCUUAAUGACAGUUUUGGCAGAUUCUAUAUUUUUCUGGUUGCUUUAAGGUCUGAAAAGGUCCCACCUAAUUUGAAACUUCAAUCUCAUAUCCUAUUUAGUGUUCUUCCCAUCUUAUCUCUGCACAAGGGCUAGUCAGGUUCCUGCCGAAGUCACUCAUCGGAGAGGUAGGGGCACUUUGCGGUAGGGAAUGGAAGGUGGGAAAAGCAAGUUUCUCUUACUUACUGUGAUCCUCUCUCAGGCUAAGCAGAAGGUCUGCCAGGUGGUGGGGAUCCAAACGCUGACGCUACUUGGGCACAUGUGAGGGUUCUUUAGGAGACCUGGCAAGGACAGAUCUUUCUGGUGUUGGGUUCUCUGACAAGUGAAGGAUUUGGCCAACUUCUUCCAAACUAGGCCCCCCAUCUCCCCUCUCAUUCGGCCCACCCCAAGCCUCUCACAGCCAGCGUCCUUCUGGGGGAUUCUCUUGCCCUGCUUGUGGGUUAGACAAACGACUGGCAGUGGAAGGAUUUUCCUCAUUACCCUUGUCUUCUGCUUAAGAAGCUUUCAGAGGUGGGGGAGGAGGUGAGGCCAGGAUGUGUGGUCUCUGCUCAUUUUUCCACUGAAGGUGGUCCCAUCAUCUCAUUUUUUUGCAGCUUUCCAUUCUGGUAGCAGACCCUCCUACUCCUCAUCCAGUUACCCAAGUUGAGUGUCGUCCCCCCCACUCCCCGCCAAGCCUAAGGUGAAAGGAUUCUACUUUGCAUUAUCAGCCCCAGGGCCUUCCUCUUUUGAGUAAAGGCAGGAACAGGAGGAAAGGGAGGCUAAAGAGCUUAUACAGGCUGCUUGGAUUAGAGAGCUUGGGCACUGGGGUGUGGGGCGGGGGGCGCCUGCAGAAGGAGGAAGGGGAAACUGUAUGUGUAAAAAGUUGAGAAAUAGAGUGGUAGAGAAAGCAAUGCUUUAAUAAAUGUGCGCUAUGAACAUAUUCUAUACUUACUAGGACAUUUUGGUCUAUAAAAUGAGACAGGGGAGCAAGGCAUUGCUAGGAUUUGUUGGAUCACAGUC